rnacentral:rRNA from 1 species
GAUGAACGCUGGCGGCGUGCCUAAUACAUGCAAGUCGAGCGAACGGACGAGAAGCUUGCUUCUCUGAUGUUAGCGACGGACGGGUGAGUAACACGUGGAUAACCUACCUAUAAGACUGGGAUAACUUCGGGAAACCGGAGCUAAUACCGGAUAAUAUUUUGAACCGCAUGGUUCAAAAGUGAAAGACGGUCUUGCUGUCACUUAUAGAUGGAUCCGCGCUGCAUUAGCUAGUUGGUAAGGUAACGGCUUACCAAGGCAACGAUGCAUAGCCGACCUGAGAGGGUGAUCGGCCACACUGGAACUGAGACACGGUCCAGACUCCUACGGGAGGCAGCAGUAGGGAAUCUUCCGCAAUGGGCGAAAGCCUGACGGAGCAACGCCGCGUGAGUGAUGAAGGUCUUCGGAUCGUAAAACUCUGUUAUUAGGGAAGAACAUAUGUGUAAGUAACUGUGCACAUCUUGACGGUACCUAAUAAGAAAGCCACGGCUAACUACGUG